AACUCCCUAUCAUGCUGACUUUCGAAAAUCGGGCCUAGCUCACUGGUCUCCCCGAGCACACCAUCGACAGCUGGGUCGAGUUCAAGGCUCAGUU
rnacentral:snoRNA from 1 species